rnacentral:lncRNA from 1 species
UCCCCCUCUUCCUCUGCCCUCCUCCCUGAAGGGAGAGGAGAACAUUUCCCAGCCAGCUCUACCAGUGACCUAUCCACUGGACGACACGGCCUUUCAUUGCCUUUGGAGCACCUCGUGAUAGAAAUCAGUGGAUGUGAAAGAAGAAUCAGACAGGACAUUUGAAUCCAAGAGGAAAUAUUGAGCUGUUGUAAAUAGACCGCAAACGAAGAGAUCCACUGAAGAACCAUGCCUAUUUACAUCAGUACAGACAGCAGCAAUUCUUUUCAGUCAGGGGACAACAUUUGCAGUGUUUGCAUCUAUGCUGCAUUUGUACUAGCUACUUGGAACCACAUGCUGACGUGCAGUUUCC